rnacentral:misc_RNA from 1 species
GAUGAAGAACGCAGCGAAAUGCGAUACGUAAUGUGAAUUGCAGAAUUCAGUGAAUCAUCGAAUCUUUGAACGCACAUUGCGCCCGCCAGUAUUCUGGCGGGCAUGCCUGUCCGAGCGUCAUUUCAACCCUCGAACCCCUCCGGGGGGUCGGCGUUGGGGAUCGGCCCUGCCUCUUGGCGGUGGCCGUCUCCGAAAUACAGUGGCGGUCUCGCCGCAGCCUCUCCUGCGCAGUAGUUUGCACACUCGCAUCGGGAGCGCGGCGCGUCCACAGCCGUUAAACACCCAACUUCUGAAAUGUUGACCUCGGAUCAGGUAGGAAUACCCGCUGAACUUAAGCAUAUCAAUAAGCGGAGGA